ensembl:lncRNA
CCCAAGCCUGUAGGCAUUCAUGGCCGGGCUGGAUGUGGCUCUGGGCAGCCUGGUCUGGUGGUUGGCGGCCCUGCACAUAGCAGGGGAGUUGAAACUCGAUGAUCAUUGUGGUCCUUUUCAACUCAGGCCAUUCUGUGAUUCUAUGAUUCUAUAUUGAGUGUAGUAUUUCAAAGCGUGUUCUUGUUAAUUUGUUCCUUUUACUGCACAAUCCUGUGUGCUAUUUCAUAUCUUUAGAAUUGUGGUAAUGUAAUGUACAUCUCCUGUGUCCUUGCAGCCCCAGGGGAACAUACUUUCCCCUCCAGACGAUCGGCUAACAGCUUAAUUGCCACAAUCGGGAGGAAAUAGCAGACUUAUUUCAGAUACACACUUCAGAUAACAAUAUACAGACUCCCUUGUGCAACAGUUACAAGGAAAGCAGCAGAUGUAAGAAAAUGAAGACACCCAAGAACAGUGUUUAAGCAAUAUCUUAGUAAGGUAGGUGGAACAGUUGAUAGCAGGCUCUUAGAGCUGACGGAAAGAGCAGCAAAGUACAGAAUGGAAAGAGGUUGCAACCUCUUCCCUCUGCAUUUCCCUUGUGUCAGAAAACUGUUUCUGAUUCAGGUGGCUUUUUUUGUUCUGUUGUUAAAGUAAGGAGCUCCUGCCGAAGUAUACUUAUGGUUUCCGUUUGCAAAGAUGGUUUCAAAGGAAAUGGGCAAAAGAAAAAUAUUGAAAUAACAAACUGGAAUUCCACAAAAACCCUGCAGUGGAUAUAGCAGUACCAACAGGAAGCGUCGGGGGCUGUGAUUUAAGUUUCAUACCUGAGGACAGAAAAAUGUAAGAUUGCGUUAAUGCUGAGAAACAAAUGCCAAAUCUGCAUUAUUUGAUGUUUUGCUUAACAAGCAAAGUCAGUUGUUUCAAUUUUUAUAAAGCAAAUCAUUCGAGAAAGAAUUGAAAUGGAGCCCUAUGAAUGCAAACUGAUUGAUUAAUUUUUUGCUCAAUUGUCAGAACUAAGCAUGAACUUCCUUCAUAAGAAGCUGUCUCAGCCCCUGACAAUAUUAUUACUGAUACCAGUUAUUUCUUUCGCUCAAAGUCAAUAUUUGUGGUGGUUUUCUUCUUUUAGGGGAGGAGAGGGGGCAAGAAUUUUUUGUUUUACUACAAAUCCAUUUUUUAACAAGGGUGAAAACCCAGAGUUUGCAUUCAGUGAAAAGGACACUGCCGUUUUAUUUGGUUCUACACCAACUAGCUAUAUUCUGCAACUUUAUAGUUUUGUCACCAGCAACUCAUACCUGUACGUUAGUUUAUUGCUGAAGGUGGAUUACUGGAUGAACAAUAUGAAGAAAUGGGCAUUCAUUCAGUCCCAGUGUAUAAACUUCAGAAGAGGCAGGAAGAUCUGCGUGCAUUUCUGGCUCACACAGUCAAAAUUCAUGAUAGGAAACAGGCGCUGAAGAGAAACCAGCACUUGCCAGACUACAUGUGCUUUUAUAAAACUUGGUAUUUUAUUGCAUUUACUUCACAUACUGUACUCAUUACCAGUCUUGUGAGGAAAUUCAGCCCUUUGUCAAUAUUCAGUGAAAAAGACGAAGUCCAUCUGCCAACAGAGCAUGGAGGGAAUGUGUACGAGUGAAAUAGUAAUGCAAAGAUUGGGUAUGUGGAAAGGAAAGAAUCUGAUUUAUUUUUAAAGAGCAGAAUUACUGGUAGAUGAUGAAUUCAGUGGAAGUCAGCUAGAACCUGUUGUACACCAAGAACUGAACAUCCAUAACUAGAGAACAUUUGACUUAAAAGGUUGUAUGGAAGAGGCGCUCCAGUAACACAGUGUUACUUGUCAGUCAAGCAGGAGUCACUACUAACAGUACUGAUCAAUGGAUUUUGUAUUUAAUGCAUAUUAGAAUGGGAAAAACAGCUCUGUGACACAGGAUUCGUUACAUUAGUAGUACGAUGGACUGACUUUACAGUGUAGUCAUCUUUUGGACUAUCUUAGAUUUAGCCAAAUACUUCUGUUAGCCUUUCUACAGUUUCAGAUGUUCCUUGAUCAAUGUGUGAUAUCAAUUACCUCCCAUGUCAUCCCUUCCUGUUUUCUUCACUAUUAAAAAUCCUUCUGAAUUUCCCUUCUAAAUCAGAGGGUUUCAUCCUUGGAAGCAGCUUCUGCAACAGAGAUCAAGGCAACUUUCAGUGAGUCACAAGGUAAGGUACAGGAUGUUUAGAUGCCAGCUCCAUGUUCUGUCUUCCUCUUGUUUCCCCUCUGUAUCACAGGCUGAUACCCCCAGCCCCAUAAUGCGUCUGUGCAUUCUUCAGCUCAGUGGGGCGGCUGUUUAUUCUGUCAUGGGCAAUGGGAGAAAGCAAGCCAUGAGGAUAAGAGUAACACAGUCUGUUGAGUGAGUUUUCUUCAAUGUCUCCCUCUGAAUGUGCGAACCCUUGUGGCUGGAGGUUGUCCAGCUUUUUUGUCUGCAGCACCUCUGCACCCACAGAAUAUUCACAGCAGAACAACUGAAUCCUCAGCCAGUAUCAUUCUAAUAUCACCCUCAGUAACUGCCCUUCACUCUCUCAUUCUCCCGUGUUCCUAGUAUUGUUGCUGUUACCAGCAGCUCAACUAACAUCAGAAAUCUGAGAGGUAAGGGAGGUGGUGUAAGGGGUCCACCAGGCAGGGGAAGGAGAAGCAGCUGUCCUUCUAAGGGAAGGCUGUUAAGAUCAGCAAGGUAAGAACCUUAUGUUUUAGCAUGUUUAUGUAUUUAAUUCAAAAUGGCAGUGAGAUUCUCAACAAUUAAAACAGCAGAUUGUAUGGGGAAUAUUAUUCUUGGCAUCUCACAGGAAAAAUUGCAGGAAGGACAGCUGUAGAAAUUGCAAAAGAAACCUAAAGAACCAAAUGAAGGAUUAAAUGUUGUUUAGUUGCUAUGCUAUGGAUUUCUGUUGUAAGGAUAUUAAUGUUGUUAAAUUCCAAUUUAACUCUGUAGGAUGAAACAAGCACAUAAGGAAUUGGGAAGAAUAUUUUUUUGCUCUUUUGAAAGAUUAACUACUGCUUUCUAUAAUCUGCAAAGACUUGCAGGAGGGAAAAUGCAAAGCACAGCAUCCAACAUAUUAACAUGCUAAUUUAGAGGGAAUGUAAAAAGUAGUUUCACUUGCUUGCAUCUUCAUGUUGCUCUCUUACAGAACCUGUUAAGCAAGGCCUGGCCCUGGCACAGUUAGCAACCCUGGGGGGAACCUACCUUAGCAAUUGCAUGGCAGCCCCUCAUGAACAAUGUGGGACUAAUACAGAUCAAGGGCAGGAUGACAGAUACUGCGAUCAUCCUGCUUAUGAAAUGCAACAUUUAAUAAGCAAUCAUAAAGUAGCAGGGAAGAUUUAAACAGAAGUUGGAGAGAGGCUUGGGAGUGCUGUGUUUUGCAUGUGUGCUCCGUGGGAGUGUGUUUAUCCUAAUGGGAGGCUUGGGAGUGCUGCGUGCUGUGCCAUGCCAUACAGCCACUUGGCUUUGCGGCUGAAAGCAGCCGUGCUGGUUUGGUGAAGCAGCUGAGAGCUAAAGUAUGUGCCUUGUGUUCUGUUUGAUUGCUGUAGCUUGUGCUGCAUUCUCGUGGGGUGGUUAACAUGCCAGCCUCUAAUGCUUGUAACUGUACUCUGUCUUCGUGGUGCUCCGAGAGCUGAUUCUGUAACUGCUGUACUGUGCUUCACCAUGAUAUAUAUAUAUAUCAUUAUUUCAGGGAACAGUUGUUCCGACUAGAAAUAUGAAAAAAAUGUUUUAUGUUCUAUUUUGAGCAUUUAAUAUCCCCAAGAACAGUACCUCUAAAUAAUCUCUCGAACUUUAGCUGCUCUGUGGCUUCAAGUGAUUUCACUGUCCUUUUCAGUCCUUAUGUGAGGGCACUCCUCCAGCAUCACUGCUUACAUCCUGGAGAGCUCAGUUCAGAGCAUUUUGAGAGGAGUGAUCAGAAAUAAUAAGUGGGAAAACAAACAAAAUGCAACAGACCUGAGGAGUUCACGUGCAUGUCUUUGGAACGAACAAAUACCUUUUCAAGAAACUAAGGGCAAGAUGUUCUUCCUUGAGCUUCCAAGAGCUUCUUUGCUUUCCCGUUCUGAUUCACAAGGAGGAGAUGAUCUCGACAGAAAAAAUAUGGUCUUCGGUAGAGUAUAUGGUUUUCUGACAUGAAAGGCUCCAGCAGAAGAACAUAUGUGGGAUAACAAAGCUCAGUAGAAACCAACUAUCUGAAAAAGAAGGUGACAGCUGGGAAUCCUGCAUCUAAGAAAUGCUGCAAUCAGGAUUCAGCUUUUAUAGGCUCUCGGAAAAGGAGAGAUGCUCUGGUAUCCACCUUGGGCUGAGACUGAGAUUCCCAAAUUCUAACAUGUGUUGAAGCAAAGCUGUGUGUAGAUAAUUCCUGAGUAGCCAAGCAGAUUGUCCUGGCUGAUACUGAAAGCUGUUGGUACAGCAACUUCUACUACUGCUACCUACAGUGACGGCAGUGGGUAGUGAGCAAGAUGGAUUUGGGAACCACCAAGCUGGAUGUGUUUAUUCAACUGCUGACUGAGGUAAUGUGUUCUUACUUUAGUUGAAGAAGAACAAGAGAACACUAAUGAGCAUGGAGAAUAUACAGAAGUUAAUGAAAGCAACAUAAAUAGGUGGUGGAAAAAGAUAAGCCCUGUUAGCUGGGUGAAAAGGGAACUAGAGACCAUGGCCUGAGCAUACAAAAUGUAUUUGGUGUUUUUUUUCCCUGUUUUCCUGACAAAUACAGCAAGAACUAAAUGCUGAGGAGAAAAAGCGCCAUAGAAACAAAUAGCUAGGGACAUCUUUGCUUAAUAUGAACUUCCAGUGGAAACUGAAAAGUGGAGCAGCUAGCAUUAACCAUUUUUUAACACAGCUAUUCAAAUCUUGUUGAAUUACACAACUUGUAUUGAAAUAAAUAGGAACUGCUGGUCCUGAGUUUUAUUACAAAUUAGGCCACUUGAGAAAUAGUUGCAUAACUGGUCUGAAAUAAGUAAUUGCUGUAAGUCUGUAAGUUUAGAUGUUGCUGAAGUUUAAGCGGGUGGCUUAGUCUUCAGUACUUUUUUGCUUUAUUAUUAUUCAAGUAUGCAUCAAAUUUCUGUAAUCACUUUCUCAAAGAGCCUUAGAAUUGUCUACUGACACAAGUGAUCUGAAACAAUUUGAGCAAGUGGGAAGCACACCAUUAGCACAUCCCGUGGUCCGUAGCUUACAAAACAGUAGUUCAAACUUCAGGACAUCUAGUACCAAAACAAAAACAUCGUGAUCUAGCGGCUGAAUCAGUAUAAACUCAAGCUGUCAAUACAACAUUGUUCAAAUGGGUUGGUCAUUAAUUUGUGGGACAGGUAACUUCAAGCUGUCUGGCUUUCUGUGGUUCUGCUGUUGUGUGCCUGACUCGACCUUUCCUAGUUUGCCCAGAUUUCUUUUUAAUAGCUCAUUUUUGUCAUUCUCACUUUCUAUGCUCAGAUAUAUUGUUUAAGUUUUCAGAUUCCCUAUCCUCAUUCCUUUUUUCAUUGGAUACUCACAGAACAUUCACUCAACAGAUUUUAUUAUCUUUGUCACAGAUCCUGACCUAUCCAAAUGUUCAGAAACUUGUGAUCACCUCCUUUUUGUUGUUGUUUUUAAUCGUCUUUUUUUUCCUUUGGCCUCUGUAUGAGCUACAUAGCUGCAGUUGCCACAUCUUUAUGACGUGCUCUGUCUCUGUGGCUCUAAACAGAGGCUGUACCAUCUGCCUCCUUCUGGUCUGGCCUGAUACUUUCCUCUCUUUGGAACUGCCCAACUCAAUUUUGAAGAAGGAAAUGCAAAUGACUUGGACAUCAAUUCUGGUCAAAAACUGGUGGUAAACUAAAGCCAUGUGUGAAAAGUUGGCAUUUCUCUUUUCCCCAACUAAUUGUUAAUCAUGUGACAAAUUGGAGAUGGUGUAUCAGAGGGGAUAGGAUUUUAGCUCAGGAGAGUGAAGCUCUGUCUCUAGACAUUUCCCAUAACAGUGAGAUUUUCUGUCAGCUACAGCAGCCAUCACUUCUCUCUCCACAAAUUCAGUAUGCCCACGCAUGCCUUCUAUAGUAGCAACUCUGUCACCUUCUUGUCAUCCUAAGAAUGAGCAGACUUGACUCUAUCAGCAAGCAGCCUUGAUAGCCUAUCUGGAUACACUGUGCAUUUUUUCUGGCUGGAAGGCUAGCAAAUCACUUUUUAUGGGAACUUUGGAGUGGCAAGGAUAGUCUUUUGGGGCAUAUUUUCUUGCCCAAAGAGUAUUGGGUGAACUGCUAGGAACAAAAACUAUAUGCCUUAGCCAAAAGAAGAAAUUGCUCUUCAGAGGAUUGGAUACAUGGGGACAGGAAGAAAGAGAGAGAGAUGUGUUUAUCACAGAGAAAAGCUACCCAAUUGAGGAAAGUCUAGCAUGCUUCACUGUUUACCAUGAGCUCAGGGGACCAGAGAUCUUCUGAAGUGUGUAUCAUCUCCAGAAUUUCACUGGAUGCUUGCGUACU